rnacentral:sRNA from 1 species
UUCCAUUACACGAUUGAGAGAUAUGUCAAAAGAGGAUCGAAGAAUUAGAAGUCUGAGAUGAUUAAACCAAAAUCAUGGCUGCAAUUAUCACAAAACUACAAAGCAACAGAGGACAUUAAAAAGAAAUUACAACAAAACCAAGCUAAAACAUCUUGUAACAGUGAAAAUGAACAACUCUUUGCCACUAAAAGACACAAACAUUCAUUUGUUCAGUUCUUCCAUAUCAAGCAAUCUUCACUUCAAUAGUCCUAGGCUUCUUGGGUUCAGGAGGAGGCAAUUUCUGCACAGUAACACUGAGAACACCAUCUUGACACACAGCAGAGAUUGCAUCAAUGUUUGCAUUUUCAGGUAAAACAAACUUGCGCAUGAAUUUCCCAACUCUUCGUUCCAUUUUCAGAAACUUCACCCCUUCUUUCUCUUCUUCCCUCUUUCUCUCCCCACUAAUCAAAAGCACGUUAUCAUCUUCAACCUGAACCUUUAUGUCACCAGAUUUCAACCCCGGCAUGUCGAUCAGUAACACGUAGGAAUUCGGAUAUUCUUUCACAUCCGCAGCUGUUGCAGCCAUCGCUUUCGCGUCUCUCACGUAUGUCUGUGUCGGAGCAUUGUUUGUCUUCUCCCCUGCACCCUCCUCCGACAUGUCCAUCAUGCGGUGCAGCGUGUGGAACAAUGGAGAUUCCAAACCCAUCACUCUGAAAUCCAUCACUUUUCAGAUACGAGGAAAGCUGUUUAGAAAGCCAAGAUUUUUGUUUGAGAAUUGUUUUGUGGAUAUUUCUUCGUUGGGAAGAACGUAUGUGGCUAUUUAAAGGGGAAUGUACCUUGUUCCAGAUAGAAAUGGAAGUUUCUGAUGUAAGCCAAU